rnacentral:rRNA from 2 species
CAUGCAAGUCGAACGAUGAAGCCCUUCGGGGUGGAUUAGUGGCGAACGGGUGAGUAACACGUGGGCAAUCUGCCCUUCACUCUGGGACAAGCCCUGGAAACGGGGUCUAAUACCGGAUACGAGUUCAGGAGGCAUCUUCUGGACUGGAAAGCUCCGGCGGUGAAGGAUGAGCCCGCGGCCUAUCAGCUUGUUGGUGGGGUAACGGCCCACCAAGGCGACGACGGGUAGCCGGCCUGAGAGGGCGACCGGCCACACUGGGACUGAGACACGGCCCAGACUCCUACGGGAGGCAGCAGUGGGGAAUAUUGCACAAUGGGCGAAAGCCUGAUGCAGCGACGCCGCGUGAGGGAUGACGGCCUUCGGGUUGUAAACCUCUUUCAGCAGGGAAGAAGCGAAAGUGACGGUACCUGCAGAAGAAGCGCCGGCUAACUACGUGCCAGCAGCCGCGGUAAUACGUAGGGCGCAAGCGUUGUCCGGAAUUAUUGGGCGUAAAGAGCUCGUAGGCGGCUUGUCACGUCGGGUGUGAAAGCCCGGGGCUUAACCCCGGGUCUGCAUCCGAUACGGGCAGGCUA